rnacentral:rRNA from 1 species
GAUGAUACGCGAGAACCUUACGUGGCUCAAAUGUAUGUUGACGUUAUUCUGAAAGGGAUACUUCUUUCGGACAAUAUACAAGGUGCUGCAUGGUUGUCGUCAGCUCGUGCCGUGAGGUGUCGGGUUAAGUCCCAUAACGAGCGCAACCCCUAUCAUUAGUUGCCAUCAGGUCAAGCUGGGGACUCUAAUGAAACUGCCUACGCAAGUAGUGAGGAAGGUGGGGAUGACGUCAAAUCAGCACGGCCCUUACGUCCAGGGCUACACACGUGCUACAAUGGCCGGUACAAAGGGCAGCUACCUGGUGACAGGAUGCUAAUCUCAAAAGCCGGUCUCAGUUCGGAUCGGAGUCUGCAACCCGACCCCGUGAAGCUGGAAUCGCUAGUAAUCGCGCAUCAGCCAUGGCGCGGUGAAUACGUUCCCGGGCCUU